rnacentral:sRNA from 1 species
GGGGACCUGGGAGAGUAUCUAUUUGGGAUGCCACAUAGUAGCAGAAAGGACCCAUCGAGAAAUCUCAAGAAGAGACUCAGGGACUUAUAGAAACAUUGGUUAAGGAUGGUUUCCCCUUUAAAUGGGGAAGCAGGCCCAGAAAAGAGAUGAUACUUACCCACAAUCACCCAACUAGUUAGCAGUGGAACCCUAAACUGCACCUUGAAGUGAAGGGUCCCAUAAGAAAGGUGGAUGGAUUCUUCUUAGUGGGGCCAUCUUAGUCCAGAUGCAGCAGGUGAAGGAAGAUGGGCAUUUGAGAAUGACCCACUGAAAGGUUCCCCAAGUGGUCCUAGCACCAGGAGCUUGUCACGGAGUGUGGGCUUCAUACUGUUGAGCUGCAGGCCCUGCUUGGGGCUUCUGGAAAGGGGACAACCUCUGGGUUGUCUUCUGGGAAGAACAGUCUCUGGUAAGGAGAGGUUGGAGACUCUCUAAAACUGGCCCUGACCCUUCUGAGCUGUGUUUCUCCUCUAGGGGCUGAGCUGGAGGAGAGUAGCAAAAACAUGAAGAAGUUGGAUGCCAUGACCCUCAUUAAAGAAGGUGGGAGUCGACACACAUUAGGGCUGGGACCCAGGGCAGACAGGACCACGCUCCACUUUUCCACCACACUACAGAAGGAGGUGGCUGCUUGAAGCAGCUGUCUGGGGACCCUCAUUUUGAUAGGUCCGAGUUGGCCGGUUGUUCUGGCUCCUGUGACCUGUCGUUGGAGAUCAUAAUCAUAGGUGAUUGCCCACUCACCUGAAAGCGUAUACCCUUUGGGACUGCUUAGAUUGAACUCUGGAAGCUGGAAGCAUUCAGCAUGGAGCUUGUUAUAUCAGCGGGGAGGUGAAGUGCCUUCUGAGUGUGGGGUGGGAGUGCUCUCCGAUCUUCCAGAGAAACCCUGGGAUCUUCAGCCCCAGUGACAUGGGCUUCUGUCAUUGCAGACAUGUCCAUCUUCGGGCACUGCCCUGCCCAUGAUGACUUCUACUUGGUUGUGUGUAACCACUGCAGCCAAGUGGUGAAGCCUCAAGCUUUCCAGAAGCACUGCGAAAGAAGACAUGGGCCCCUCAGCAAGCUUUAUGCCCGGGCCCCACCCCCACCUCCAGCCCCUGCCAGCUCUCAGAAAUGCCAUGUAGUGAAUGGGCAGGGCCCAGCUUGUAGGGCCCCAGGUUCCACGAAAACCUCCUCCAGGGAGAAGGGCCAGGGGUCCCGGAGCCGUGGCCACCAGCCUCCUGAGAAGACCCAGAAAGACAACCUCUGCCUUUUCGUGCCUGUGGUGAAUCUGGAGAAGAUGUCCAGUCUCCCGAAGCCUGAUGGACAUGGAAUCAGGGUGGCCCCACCCUCUGCUUUUCUCAGUCAGCCAGGGGGCCUCACCAGGGACUCCCCUGGAAAACCUCCCAUGGCUCCCCCUUCUAAAGAACCUCCUGGCAGAGAGAACAUCGAGAUCAUCCCCAGUGAGGGGUCCAGUCACUGGGCUGAAGGCAGCCCUCCUGAAAAGGAGCCCAGUGGGACCAGGCUGCCCGCUAAAACCCACCGGAAGAUGGCUCGGAAGGAGUGCGACCUCAACAGGCAGUGUGGGGUAAUAAAUCCAGAGACCAAAAAGAUCUGUACCCGCCUGUUGACCUGCAAGAUCCACUCAGUACACCAGCGCCGGGAAGUCCAGGGCCGGGCCAAGGACUUUGACGUGCUGGUGGCAGAGCUGAAGGCCAACUCCCGCAAAGGGGAGUCUCCCAAGGAGAAGAGCCCAGGGCGCAAGGAGCAAGUUCUCGAGCGCCCCUCCCAGGAGCUCCCCUCCUCAGUCCAGGUUGUAGCAGCGGUGGCUGCUCCCAGCAGCACCUUCUCUGUUCGUGCCAAGCAGACCUACCCAUACUGUGCACUGCCCAGGUACGUCUAGAAUCCAACCCCUACCUCACCUGGGGGUACUUGGCCCCUAAGCCAUCAGGGGCCCCUGGAAACAGGCUCAGGGAGUGUCCUGGAAGAGGCACUCCCUCAGCCCUGAGUGUGGGGGUAUUCCUGGGGCUCCUGACAGUGGUGUGGAAGCAGGAGACUCCCCUGUUUCCAACCAGGCAUACCACAGCACCCCAGCCUCUCGGCAGUGUGCCAGAUCCAACACUCAGGAUAUGAACAUUUUCCCAGCUGCCUCCAACAGACCGAAACUUGUCACUGGGGAGCUGAAAGGGUCACACUCCUGGGCAAGGCAGCCCUAUGUGUAUUCACUCACUGGCCCCUUCGCGUGCAGAGGCUAUGCCGGACCCCAGGGAGAGCCUGACUUGCUGAAGGAGACACACAUGCAUCUCUGCCUGUCACACAAGGGGCAGACACGAAACACAGGCUCAGCUCACAGACAGGCUCACAGGAAUAUGUGAUGCAAGAAGGGGGUUGAGCGAGUUGACUGGGCUGACCAGAGCUGGGUACAGUUUUAACUGUGAAGAUUUUCUGGAGGAGGCGGAUCUGCAGCAGAUUAUCCCCUGAGGAGGAAGGGGCUGGGAGGUGAAGGGGCUGGGGAGAGAAUCCCUUGGGAGCAGUCUCUCUGUCUCUUACUCUGUGAGCUAUGUCGUUCCCUCCUGUCCUUCCCUUCCCUCUGUCCUCUUCUGAUUGCCCUGCAGGGUGUCUGCCCUGGUGCCCUGCUCUUUGAGCUCAGCAGGUUCAAGGAUGCCCCUACUCUGACCCCACAACAGUCACAUUCCCCUGGCAUCCCUUUUGGCCCUUCCAGGUCCCGGGCCUCCUCCGAGAGUGAAUUGGAUGAUGAAGGCCCCUGUGGUGGUGAUGGGGACCCAGGCCUGUUCCCCUUCCCCAUGCCCCGGGGUGGGACCCAGGCCUCCAGCGAAGAGAGUGAGGAGGAGGGGACAUCUGACGACCUCCACCCACCCCCUGACUGCCAUUAUGCAACCCGGCCCCCACGGCCACAGGCGUUCUGCACCUUUGGGAGCCGGCUGGUGAGCCCAGGAUGCUAUGUGUUUAGCCGCCGGCUGGACCGGUUCUGCUCAGCACUCAGCUCCAUGCUGGAACGGCACCUCAGCUCACACAUGUGGAAGAAGAUCCCACCGGCAGCUGAACCUCCAGCUCACCUUGUCAACUCCCCGUUAUCUGCUCCCCUGAGCCCAUCCUCUACAGGCACCUGCCCCCGCCUUCCAGGUCCACCCCCGAGACCUGCCUGCCCAGCCUCCAUGCCCCCCACCAAGGACAACCUUGUCCCCAGCUACCCUGCAGGCUCCCCCAGCGUGGCGGCUGCCUGUAGCCAGGCAGAGUGCAUGGGCGGGAGCCAGGCUAUCACCUCACCACUGCCUGCCAACACGCCAUCCCCGUCCUUCAGCAAGCUGCCGCCUUCCAAGGCCAGCAAGUCAUCCAAAGGCAAGGACGGGGUGGAGGUGGAGGCCCCUUCUCGAAAGCGGAAGUUAUCCCCUGGCCCCACCACUCUUAAACGGACCUGCAUCCUGGAGCCCACUGGAAAAGGGAAACCCUCUGGCUGUAGGGGCCUCUCGGCCAAAACUAAAACAGCCCUGAGCAUGGGGCUUAAUGGGACAAUGGGGCCAAGAGUGAAGCGGGCAGGGCCCCUGGACUGUCGUGGCUCCCCUCAUCAGCUCCCCACACCAGUCAAGGCUUCUCAGCUGGAGAACCAGGGAGCAGCCGGACACCCAGCCAAGGCCCUGCCAACCAACUGCCUCUCUGAGGAGGAGGUGGCCAAGAAGCGGAAAAACCUGGCCACUUAUUGCCGGCCAGUGAAGGCCAAGCACUGUCAGGCUGGUGCCCCUGCUGAUGUGGCCUGCUCUGUGCGCCGCAAGAAGCCAGGCCCGGCCCUGGCCUUUGAGGAGAAGUGCUCUACACUGAAGGUACCAGCCAGGCUCCCUGAAGAUUGAUGAGGGUGGGGCACACAGGGGGUACCUGAUACAGAGAAGAUGCUACAUUGGUGUUUGUGCAGGGAAAGGGAGGAAGGGGAAGUUGAGAGAGUUCCUGGACUGUUUUCUUUAGGACGAGGUAGGUCAGUUCUUAGCAAAGUGUCUCCAGCUUUUUGCCUGGUGAACCUUCCCCUAUCCCUAACCCUUUCCCUUGGGCUGAGGAGAUGCGGCACCCCUGCACCCCUGCUUUUGCUAUAAUCAAAGGGCUACUUCUUUCUGAAUUGGCUGUGACCCUCAUUCCAGGUACUGGAGCUACCUCUGUUCCCUGAAGGAAAGGGAGUUUGAGUCCCUGGGUCACAGCCUAACAUGCCGAGCAGCAAGUCAAAAGCCCAUUAACGAGAAAGUGCCUGCCCACUGCAACGGAGCCGCCAGCACCUCCUCCCCUCCAGAUCCGGGCCCCAGGCUGCUGCCGCUUUUUAUAACUUUAUAUUAUUUUUUUUAAGAAAAAAAGCUCUUUAAAAU